rnacentral:rRNA from 1 species
UACGUAGGGUGCAAGCGUUGUUCGGAAUUACUGGGCGUAAAGGGCGCGUAGGCGGCCAGACCAAGUCGAGUGUGAAAUUGCAGGGCUUAACUUUGCAGGGUCGCUCGAUACUGGUCGGCUAGAGUGUGGAAGAGGGUGCUGGAAUUCCCCGGUGUAGCGGUGAAAUGCGUAGAUAUCGGGAGGAACACCAGUGGCGAAGGCGGGCACCUGGGCCGACACUGACGCGUGAGGCG